GCAGUCGAACGAACCCUGUCGGGGUUAGUGGCGCACGGGUGCGUAACGCGUGGGAACCUGCCUUUAGGUUCGGAAUAGCUCCCCGAAAGGGGAGCUAAUACCGGAUAAUGUCUUCGGACCAAAGAUUUAUCGCCUUUAGAUGGGCCCGCGUUAGAUUAGGUAGUUGGUGGGGUAAUGGCCUACCAAGCCGACGAUCUAUAGCUGGUCUGAGAGGAUGAUCAGCCACACUGGGACUGAGACACGGCCCAGACUCCUACGGGAGGCAGCAGUGGGGAAUAUUGGACAAUGGGCGAAAGCCUGAUCCAGCAAUGCCGCGUGAGUGAUGAAGGCCUUAGGGUUGUAAAGCUCUUUUACCAGGGAUGAUAAUGACAGUACCUGGAGAAUAAGCUCCGGCUAACUCCGUGCCAGCGGCCGCGGUAAUACGGAGGGAGCUAGCGUUGUUCGGAAUUACUGGGCGUAAAGCGCGCGUAGGCGGCUUUUCAAGUCAGGGGUGAAAUCCCGGGGCUCAACCCCGGAACUGCCCUUGAAACUGGAUGGCUAGAAUCCUGGAGAGGCGAGUGGAAUUCCGAGUGUAGAGGUGAAAUUCGUAGAUAUUCGGAAGAACACCAGUGGCGAAGGCGACUCGCUGGACAGGUAUUGACGCUGAGGUGCGAAAGCGUGGGGGAGCAAACGGGAUUAGAUACCCUGGUAGUCCACGCCGUACACGAUGAUAACUAGCUGUCCGGGCACAUGGUGC
rnacentral:rRNA from 1 species